GGGUGAAGUUGAGAAUGGAAGUGAAAAAAAGGUCGUAGAAAGAAAAACAAAAGCUGAGCGAGAUUGAAGUUAUCGGUAGAAUAAUUCUAGUUAUGUGUUUGUUGUCGAUGUUUUGUAAACUUCAGCCUGGAUCUCUUAUUUUGUACAGAGACACAUAGCUUCUUACCUUCCAUAGCAGGCAUGGGUACAAAUGACGAAUUCUGAUUCCAAUCAAAGAACCGAUCCGAUGGCCUGGAUGCAGAUAGAGAUUUGGUUUUGGAGGGUAUGAUGAACCUCAAAGUAUGGACUUCAACACAUAAUUUAUGCGUGCGUUUCUAUUUCAAAUUCGCAUUAAUUCUAAUACAAAUAUCUGAAAAGAGGAAUUAUUCAUACUUUUGCGAUGUAAAGAUUACGUGUUUUGAAUUCUAGAGGAUAAUAUACUGUGGGCAUUUUAUAAAUAUGACAGAGACAUAUGGAACAUUCGUGAUUUUUCAUCGCUCCCUUUACAAUAAAAAAAGAUAAAAGACACACUUUAAGACAAAUAAUGUUUAGCUAAAUGGAGUAUGAAAUGUUCAAAAACAUGA